rnacentral:rRNA from 1 species
GGGGAAUAUUGCACAAUGGAGGGAACUCUGAUGCAGCGACGCCGCGUGAACGAAGAAGGCUUUCGAGUCGUAAAGUUCUUUUAUAUGGGAAGAUAAUGACGGUACCAUAAGAAAAAGCCCCGGCUAACUACGUGCCAGCAGCCGCGGUAAUACGUAGGGGGCUAGCGUUGUCCGGAAUCACUGGGCGUAAAGGGUUCGCAGGCGGAAAUGCAAGUCAGAUGUAAAAGGCAGUAGCUUAACUACUGUAAGCAUUUGAAACUGCAUAUCUUGAGAAGAGUAGAGGUAAGUGGAAUUUUUAGUGUAGCGGUGAAAUGCGUAGAUAUUAAAAAGAAUACCGGCGGCGAAGGCGACUUACUGGGCUCAUUCUGACGCUGAGGAACGAAAGCGUGGGUAGCAAACAGGAUUAGAUACCCUGGUAGUCCACGCUGUAAACGAUGAGUGCUAGGUGUCGGCGAAUGUCGGUGCCGCAGUUAACACAAUAAGCACUCCGCCUGGGGAGUACGUGCGCAAGCAUG